rnacentral:tRNA from 1 species
CGGGGUGUGGCUCAGGUGGUAGAGCGCCUGGUUCGGGACCAGGAGGUCGCAAGUUCAAGUCUUGUCACUCCGACCA